CUGGCUGGCUGGGGUUAGUGGUGUUGAGCUCUGGCUUGGUGGCGAGAGCAAAUGGUGUAGUGCUGCUGGUGGUGCUGUGCGGCGUGACCCUGGGCUUCAGCUGAGCGUGGAGCUCAGUGUGAGGCCAGGGGAGACCUUGUGCCACCCCCACUGCUCUUUCUGGGGAGGUUUUGGGGUCUGGGUAGCUCUGCCCUGCUGGGGGUUUUGAGCUUUGCUUAUUGCAGGGUUGGAGAGCUGGGAGGAAGGGCCUCUGCUGCAGUUCAGCUGGAGCCAGUGGCCAUGGCUGUGAGCAUGACCCAUGUCCUGAGUGUGCUGAGCAUCAUGCAAUAUGCGGUGAGGGUGGGUGAUUGGACAGACACAGCCAUGGAAGAGCCCCUGCAGCAGCACGAGGAGCAGCAGAGUCAGAUGGUGGCUUGGAUGCUGGAGGAGAUGGAGUGGAGGAGCCAGGGUUUGCAAGAACUUGCCCAGGAAGACGGCUUUGCCCAGGAAGGUGUGCUCAUCACUGCGUGCCAGUACUGGUGGGUUUGGGUCUCUGCCAAUGCCCUGCUUGUGCUCUUUGGGCUCUACUGGCGGUGCAGGCAGAGGAGCGUUGGCUCUCAGAGCAGCAGCCAGCAGGGAAGCUCCAGCAGUGCAGAGAAGGAGUGGAAGAAGGACGACUGGAGGGACAAACCAGAGCCUGGUGACACUCUGGGUCCAGACAAGUGUAUGGAUAAUGGAACGUCUUCCUCUGCAUUGGACAUUGUGCUGGUUUGACUGAAAACGAGUUAAUUUUAUUUAUGUAGUUAGAAACCUUUCUUCUUCAUAGCUAGCACAGUCAUUAUUUGGACUUAGUUUGAGAACAAGAGAUAACACCCCAGCACAGAGUUAAUGUUUUUAGUUGCUCUGCUCAGAGAGCCAAGGACACUCUGAGCUCUGCCCACAGGUGUGAGGCAUCGAGGAAGUGGGGCAUGGAUGUGGCAGAGCUUUACUGACAUCCAGACUGAUCAAUAAGAGUAUUCCAUCCCAUUAGUGUCAUGCUUCAUAUUUAAGGAGCAUGGAAGAGUGGGGAUCUUCCAGUCUCUCUCUUUCUGGGGUGUUCUCGUUCUUGGUCUCUCUCUCAGGUGUUUCUCACUCUUGCUUUUUUGCUCUUUUUGUUGGAGCCAGGGGAGUUUGGAUUGGGAUGUUUAGUUAGACUUUUUGCCAUUUUGCAGAGGCCUAUGGGCUAUUCUGCCUUUUUUUCUGCUGUUCAGGACCAGGUGUGUCUUCCUGGGACUGGCUGCUCAGUUGUGGACAGAGUUUGUGAGGAAUUUCCUUGAGUAUCUUUUAUUUCUAUUUUAUAUAUGUAUUUACUAGUAGCGUAUUAGUAUUUUGUUAUUUUAUUAAGCUGUGUUUAUCUCAAUCCAAGUUUCUCCCUUCCCUUUCAAUUCUCUCCCCUACUGGGGGACGUGAGGGGGCAAGUGAGCGGUUAUCAUGGUGUAGUGCUAGCUCAGGUUAAACCACAAAAAGUACCCAUGGACGUGCAGGACAGUAGGAUAGUCUUAGUAGACAUAGAUAAGGUAGCUAGGAGUUGUUUCUUGCUGAGUUUAGGCUCUUCAAUAGAAAUGGAUCUGCUUGUAGUAAGGGCUACUGUCCAGCUGGCUUCCAGGCACUCAGCAAAACCAGGGUCCAGCAGAAGAUGCGGCUGCAAGGAGGUUUACAGCAAAGACCUCUGCUACCACUGUGAGAUGCCAAUAAAUGAGUUUGUUUGAACAAA